UACGGAGGAUGCGAGCGUUAUCCGGAUUUAUUGGGUUUAAAGGGUGCGUAGGCGGCUUUUUAAGUCAGCGGUGAAAUUUUGCAGCUUAACUGUAACAGUGCCGUUGAUACUGGGGAGCUAGGAUUUGGUUGCUGUGGGUGGAAUGUGUGGUGUAGCGGUGAAAUGCUUAGAGAUCACACAGAAUAUCGAUUGCGAAGGCAGCUCACAAAGCCAAGAUUGACGCUGAGGCACGAAAGUGUGGGGAUCAAACAGG
rnacentral:rRNA from 1 species